CACAAUGACUCUCGGCAACGGAUAUCUCGGCUCUUGCAUCGAUGAAGAACGUAGCGAAAUGCGAUACUUGGUGUGAAUUGCAGAAUCCCGUGAACCAUCGAGUCUUUGAACGCAAGUUGCGCUCGAAGCCAUUAGGCUGAGGGCACGCCUGCCUGGGUGUCACA
rnacentral:rRNA from 1 species